CAGCCCAACCCUGCUGCGGAUUCAAGGGAACCCGGUGCGAUUCCGGGACGGGGACGCCGCUGUGAACGGGGACAGACGGCCUUUACAAAUCCACCACUGCCUGGCAUCAGGGCGGGAAGGUGAGGCCGGCUGGAUGAUCCGUGAGUCAGAAGACCUAUCCGCGGUCAACGGACUACG
rnacentral:ncRNA from 1 species